rnacentral:pre_miRNA from 1 species
UUACUACUCCCUCCGUUUGGAAUUACUUGUCGCAGAAAUGGAUGUAUCUAGACGUAUUUUAGUUCUAGAUACAUCCAUUUCCGAGACAAGUAAUUCCGAACGGAGGGAGUAGAUC